rnacentral:rRNA from 1 species
UACGGGGGGAGCAAGCGUUGUUCGGAUUUACUGGGCGUAAAGCGCACGUAGGCGGAUUGCUAAGUCAGGGGUGAAAUCCUGGAGCUCAACUCCAGAACUGCCUUUGAUACUGGCGAUCUCGAGUCCGGGAGAGGUGAGUGGAACUGCGAGUGUAGAGGUGAAAUUCGUAGAUAUUCGCAAGAACACCAGUGGCGAAGGCGGCUCACUGGCCCGGUACUGACGCUGAGGUGCGAAAGCGUGGGGAGCAAACAGG